UACGGAGGGUGCAAGCGUUGCUCGGAAUUAUUGGGCGUAAAGCGCACGCAGGCGGCAGGGUGAGUCAGGUGUGAAACUCCUGGGCUUAACUCAGGAACUGCACCUGAUACUGCCUUGCUUGAGUACGGAAGAGGGGAGCAGAAUUCCCAGUGUAGAGGUGAAAUUCGUAGAUAUUGGGAGGAAUACCGGUGGCGAAGGCGGCUCCCUGGUCCGAUACUGACGCUCAUGUGCGAAAGCGUGGGGAGCAAACAGG
rnacentral:misc_RNA from 1 species